GGUAACCAGUAAGGUAUUAUAGAAGCUGUUUUGUGCUGGUUUGUUAAAUCUAAGUAUUGGAAUAUUCACCAGCUUUGGGGAUUGUCUGCCCCUUUCUUUGCAGUUCACCCUAAUUGAGUAACUCCAGUGUGGCCCCCCAGGACUCCGGUCACAGGGAGUUUGAGCCACCUAGCCUGAAUCACUGCUGGAGCCUCAACAUCCACACCAAUAAUUUUAGUGCACUAGCUCAAGCCCUGCUAGCACAAGUCUGUCUACCUGAGCUGGGAGGCUUGCUCCCACCUGCAGUGUAGACAUAUCCUUCGUGGGGCCAGCUGGGAGUUGGAGGCAGGUUCUGGCUACAUGACCACUCCUACCCUUUCCCCACCGCCAUGUUUCAUGCCUCCUGGGCCUCUCGAGAGAGCCGGCCUUUCAUUCCCCCAGUGCAAAGAAUACAAUUGAGCUUAACCUUUGCACGUGGGGGAAAGAAGGCUCCUGGCUCCCCUGCGUGUGCACCCUUGCACAGGCUGAUCACAAUUUGGCCCUAAGUUAAACAUAAAACAACCUGGGAUGACAAACAAAGGAUCACAACAGGGUCAGAUUAGAGAUACUUCUUAUUCCAUUUGCAUUUUACUAGUUUGUUUGUUUUUUUUACUUUGUCUACAUCUGGGGGCAAAACCUGGACGGAGGCUGGGAGUGGAUGUCAGUGAUGAAAUGGCAAGGCACAGUACAGCAAUGCAUUUCAUUGCUGGCAAGUCUCUCUCUAAAGUUUGGUUGUUAAAGACAUGUACUAGCAAAGGGCCCUGCUCUUACUGGAGCCAGGUGUGCACUUUGUCAUUUGGCUUCAAUGGGAGCAGCAGAAGAUACAAAAUUAACUUCUCUCCUGCUAGCUUCCUUUGUCUCAUUCAUCCAUCCACUCCCAGCUUGGUGUGAUCUUUCAUGUAUCCUAUACCCUUCAAAAAGCUCCCAGUUAAUGUAUUCUAAACUCCCUCCCUCCCUCUCCCUUCUACACCUGAGGCUUCCCAUCUAUAGUGACCAUAUAUAAGGUCCUACUUCAUUCGCAAUAUUGCGAAAACUGCAGAUUCCGCAGUAUUAGGUUUUCACCGCAAUUUUGUUUUAAAUGACCUUACUUUGCCCAGUUCACAAUUUUGCACACAUUUUGAGGUUUGCAACACACACUUUUUCCCCCACUAGUACAUUAAAUUAUUUUGGAAAGAUUUGGGAUUCACCUGCAGUUGUACAGCAUUGUCCAGAGACAGCAAAGGGAUCACUUUUGAACUUGCCUGAUUAUGUGGAGGCCGAGCGUGCAGUAUUUCAGUACGGACAAGUCUUCACAAAGGAAAGACAGGGCAUGAAGGAAACCACUGCAGCAGGGUUUACUGCACUAACAUUCAAUGCCUGAAAAAUGUAAAUGGCUAAAGUGACUGGGCUCAGUUUCUACAGCAGUUGUAUUAAGACUUUUAGUCUUUUGAAUUUUAUAUUGUACUGGUCACUUUUUUAAUGAAUGUAAUAUAGAUGCACCAAAUUGCCUGGUUAUCAAAAAAUUUCACCGGUAUAACAAUAGUGGAGUGUUUAUAGAAUUCCAGCAAUUUUUGCUUAAGCAAAUAAGUCUACUGUGGCUUUUCCAAAUUACCUCUAUUAAUAAAAGGUCCAUUAUUACUUAUCUGUGAUUUUCCAUGUCUUGUCUGCAACUCAGCUGCAAUUAUUUGAAGAUCAUCCCGUGAUUCAGGUGGGGUCUUAACCAUAUACCAUUUUCUUCAUGGUAGUCCCUCCCAGGUGCUUGCUGCUUGGUGUUUUUGGUGGGGAUGUGGCUGAGCUGGGAGGGGCUGAAGCCAGCAUUUGCUGCUCUGCAGCCUUCUUCCCCUUCACCCUUGUGUGGAUUUUCCAUCGUGUUUUUGAACUUAUCAGCAUGCUGUGCUGUUACUCCUCCUUCCCCCCAACCAAGGAUAGGUUUGGCAUGGGUGGGGAGCCAAUGGGAGUACUGCAGCACAGUAUCAGGCUUCCACAUUGUCUUGAGAUCCAUGAUGGGAGACCACAACCCUUGGCCAUACCAGUUGGAGUAGGCUGUGUUCCAAAGGGAAAACUCGCGAGUCCCACUCCCUGGCCAUUCUGCCGUCUCUCAUGUAGAGAUGCUCUAGCUCUCUGCGUGUAGCUAAUUCAAACCAUUCGUCUACAAAUGUUAUCCAGGUCUGAAGAAACAUUCUGAUUACGGAUCUCUCAAGGGGACUAAAAUCAGCCAUUAAAUAGUAAUAAAAGAGUAGUUUGGUAUCCACACAAGGAAUCCUGUGAGCCAGAUUUGAAAACUGUCCACUUCCUAUCCUUUAUUCUUGGCCUGUUUUCAUUAUGCCUCUUAUGUUUCCUUGUGCAAAUAAAAUGGCCCAUCUCAAGCACACUCCACAGAGUAAACAUGCCUUGAGCAACAAUCUCAUUGUCAGUCAUUAACGAUCUGCCCUUUUUAUAGCCAUGACAAACUAGGACUAAUUUUAGAUUUCCAUAGAGAAGGUGCCUCUUUUCUUAUGCCUCAUAAUUUAAUAACUUUUAUAUGAUUUUGAAGCAAGCUUUGAGUCCUGAAUCAACUGAGAACAUGUAUAGAGAGCAAUAAACUAGAGACAAAGGUAUUUUAUUGCUCUUAUUUUUAUUUUAGGAUUGCUUUCAUUUUUGGACAAGCAUGUUGGAAGCAGUAUAUCAUCACCAAUGAAAGAUGCAGUCAAACAGAGUUUAUCCACAAUUUCAGGUAAUCUACAUAGUAGGCUUCCAUAACACUUGAUAUUUAAGUGCCCUAACAAGAAGGCCUGGCUUUCCAAACAGUUUGAGAUGCAAGAAAGGGCUGCAGAGACUGUCCAGAAGACAACCAGCACACAAGGAAACAGGACACCUGCUACAACUAUUUUACUGGUCAACUUAUUACAGCAAUGUAAGCUUAUUUCAAUCAACACUGCAAAUUAAGUGCCUUGUAUGAAUAAUCAUUUUCAUCUGCAAAUGCAAAAGCUGGGAUUUUACUCAGAUUAAAACAGCAUCUUGAUCUAUUGAUAAUUCGUUUGUUCUCUGUCUAUCCCAGACUCUAAACAAUAAGCUUCAGCUUGCUUAAUUGUGCUUACCCUGGAGAUUAUAAAAGAAGGGAGAGUGUUUACCAGAAAUUUGA